AGUGAACGCUGGCGGCGUGCCUAAUACAUGCAAGUCGAACGAGGGGGCGCACGGGUGAGUAAUAUAUAGUUAAUCUGCCCUACACAGAAGAAAAACAGUUGGAAAAGACUGCUAAUAACUCAUAGUGUAGGAUGAGACUAUAUCGUAGCAGCUAGUUGGUAAGGUAAUGGCUUACCAAGGCUAUGAAGAGUAACUGGUCUGAGAGGAUGAUCAGUCACAUUGGAACUGAGACACGGUCCAAACUCCUACGGGAGGGAGCAGUACGGAAUAUUGCGCAAUGGGGGAAUCCCUGAUGCAGCAUCGCCGCGUGGAGGAUGACACUUUUCGGAGCGUAUACUCCUUUUAUCAGGAAAGCGGUACCUGAUGAAUAAGCACCGGCUAACUCCGUGCCAGCCGCCGCGGUAAUAC
rnacentral:rRNA from 1 species